CCAGCAGAGGAGGAGGCUUUGGAGGGUCCAGGUGCUCUGACUCCAGCAGAGGAGGAGGCUGCGACGCUAUGAACGCACAUAUACGAACUUUCAAGUUGCACACACGGACAUCAAACAGAACUAAAUCAACUAAACAGUGGUGGACCAAACCAAGAUGAAGAUGGGAGGUCAGAUGGACCAACAGCAUCAAGUCACUGGUUAUAGUCUGACAGCAUUUUCAACAGUGGACCUUUUUCACUGCAGCCACUUUGUGAUGAAAUAGCAGAGCAGCUUCUGUCCACAGGCAGUAAGGCUUAGCAACAGCCAGUGGACUCACAGCCACAUCUGCAUCUUGACUGUAUACUGCAGCUCAGGGUUUUGAAUAUGUACAUUGUCUGAGUGUGUGUGUGUGUGUGUGUUUAUAUGAAUAUAAGUAUAGAGUUUAGAUGUAAAUAAUUCUGUUGUAUUGUGUUGUUGUAAUGUUCUCAUCUGUAUUGUUGUAUGGAUGCAUGACGGAGUUAAUAUCUAAAAAUGCCCAAAUCUAAAAUCAAAUACAUUGUACAUAUCCACUGUACUGUAUAAACA